rnacentral:rRNA from 1 species
ACGGGUGAGUAAUGCCUAGGAAUCUGCCUGGUAGUGGGGGACAACGUUUCGAAAGGAACGCUAAUACCGCAUACGUCCUACGGGAGAAAGCAGGGGACCUUCGGGCCUUGCGCUAUUAAAUGAGCCUAGGUCGGAUUAGCUAGUUGGUGAGGUAAUGGCUCACCAAGGCGACGAUCCGUAACUGGUCUGAGAGGAUGAUCAGUCACACUGGAACUGAGACACGGUCCAGACUCCUACGGGAGGCAGCAGUGGGGAAUAUUGGACAAUGGGCGAAAGCCUGAUCCAGCCAUGCCGCGUGUGUGAAGAAGGUCUUCGGAUUGUAAAGCACUUUAAGUUGGGAGGAAGGGCUUUAAACUAAUACUUUGCUGUUUUGACGUUACCGACAGAAUAAGCACCGGCUAACUCUGUGCCAGCAGCCGCGGUAAUACAGAGGGUGCAAGCGUUAAUCGGAAUUACUGGGCGUAAAGCGCGCGUAGGUGGUUUGUUAAGUUGGAUGUGAAAGCCCCGGGCUCAACCUGGGAACUGCAUUCAAAACUGACAAGCUAGAGUAUGGUAGAGGGUGGUGGAAUUUCCUGUGUAGCGGUGAAAUGCGU